CCUACGGGAGGCAGCAGUGGGGGAUAUUGCACAAUGGGGGGAACCCUGAUGCAGCGACGCCGCGUGGGUGAAGAAGCGCCUCGGCGCGUAAAGCCCUGUCAGCAGGGAAGAAAAUGACGGUACCUGAAGAAGAAGCCCCGGCUAACUACGUGCCAGCAGCCGCGGUAAUACGUAGGGGGCAAGCGUGAUCCGGAUUUACUGGGUGGAAAGGGGGCGCAGACGGCGAUGCAAGCCAGGAGUGAAAGCCCGGGGCCCAACCCCGGGACUGCUGUGGAAACUGCGUGGCUGGAGUGCAGGAGGGGUAGGCGGAAUUCCUGGUGUAGCGGUGAAAUGCGUAGAUAUCAGGAGGAACACCGGUGGCGAAGGCGGCCUGCUGGACUGCAACUGACGUUGAGGCACGAAAGCGUGGGGAGCAAACAGGAUUAGAUACCCUUGUAGUC
rnacentral:rRNA from 1 species